rnacentral:rRNA from 1 species
AUGCAGUCGAGCGGGGAAAGUAGCUUGCUACUUGACCUAGCGGCGGACGGGUGAGUAAUGCUUAGGAAUCUGCCUAUUAGUGGGGGACAACAUCUCGAAAGGGAUGCUAAUACCGCAUACGUCCUACGGGAGAAAGCAGGGGACCUUCGGGCCUUGCGCUAAUAGAUGAGCCUAAGUCGGAUUAGCUAGUUGGUGGGGUAAAGGCCUACCAAGGCGACGAUCUGUAGCGGGUCUGAGAGGAUGAUCCGCCACACUGGGACUGAGACACGGCCCAGACUCCUACGGGAGGCAGCAGUGGGGAAUAUUGGACAAUGGGGGGAACCCUGAUCCAGCCAUGCCGCGUGUGUGAAGAAGGCCUUUUGGUUGUAAAGCACUUUAAGCGAGGAGGAGGCUACCGAGAUUAAUACUCUUGGAUAGUGGACGUUACUCGCAGAAUAAGCACCGGCUAACUCUGUGCCAGCAGCCGCGGUAAUACAGAGGGUGCAAGCGUUAAUCGGAUUUACUGGGCGUAAAGCGCGCGUAGGUGGCCAAUUAAGUCAAAUGUGAAAUCCCCGAGCUUAACUUGGGAAUUGCAUUCGAUACUGGUUGGCUAGAGUAUGGGAGAGGAUGGUAGAAUUCCAGGUGUAGCGGUGAAAUGC